ACAACUUUGUCCCCCCCAUAACACAGACAGAGAGACAGGAGUGGUGUUAAGGUCUAGCAGCCCAACAAAACUUAGCUGAACUUAUCUCACUCGCUGGAUAUAAUACAUAACAAGAGGAGUGACUGGAUCUGACUCAGCUUGUCACAUGCACUAGUUGGAGGGGAAAGUCAGACUGAGUGUGGGCAUCCUGUAACUAAGUGGCUGAUCAGUCCUGGACCAUGAAGCUUAGAGUGGCGUUGUUCUUCGCAGGGCUCUUUGGGGCGUUGGCAGCUGUGUUCAUCCUUCUCUCUUUUGGAACCGAUUACUGGCUGCUGGUUUCAGAGAGCUGCCAGUUAAGGCCUAAUGGAUCUGCUGGCCCAGGCGGAGUGACCAUAAAGCCUGGAGAUGUGGUGCUGGAGGGAAAGGGCAGUAGUGAUGUCACUCUAUACCACGAGGGUUUUUUCUGGAGGUGUUCCUUUAAAGGCGACAUGGAGGAUGACGACCUGCUGAAGAGACUCUGGUUCACCAAUCAGCCUGACUCAAAAGUAUGUAUGCCUGCCUACCUCUUCCCAUUCCCCGUGUCUCGUCAGACCCACAAUGCCACAGAGUAUGAGUCUUCCAUAACUUACAGAGGUUUCUGGAGCGUCUUUAUGCUCAUUGCUGUAGCAGCUGUGGUGAUUGGCGGAUUCAUCAUCAUCUGCGCUGCUCCGUUUGCCGGCCACCGCUUGUAUAAAGCAGGGGGUGGCCUCUUUCUGAUAGCUGGUUUUUUCCUGCUGUGUGUGGUGGUGAUGUACGUACUGUGGAUGCAGGUGUUGGAUGUGAUAGACCUUUACAUAGACCACCAGCGUGCUCUGUGUUCAGACUUCCAUCUGACCUUCAGCUACGGUCUCUCCUUCAUGUUUGCCCCAAUCGGCAUCUUCUUCUGCUUCCUGGCCGGCCUUCUUUUCCUCCUCAUCGGCCGAACCAUCCAGAUUCACUCCCAGUAACUUACCAGCAGUAGAAGAAGAGCCCGAAUGUCGGGAUUGUAUGAGGGUUUUAUACUUUUCUCAGUCUUUCUGUCAGGAAUCGGUUUGGCAAUUAUGUGGCACAUGCUUGAAUAUUUUCAGCUGUUGUUGAGCUCAUCGUGCUCACUCAAACCUGAGUCAUUUUCAGCUCAGCUAAGAUAGCACUGAGACUGCGGAGGACCCAAAACAUUUAAAAUGAAAAAUAAAUAAGAAAUUAAAAAAAUGCACAAAAAUGAAUAUUAAAAAUAAACCGAGGCGCUAAUUUCUGAAAUGUGCCAUUAAUUAAUAUUUCUGCUGGUCUUCUAUUUAUUUACCCUUCUGUUAAUUUGCCUGCUUUCAUAUUUAAUAUUUAUUACUUAUUUAAUUUCUAAUAAUGAAUAUAAAAGAUUUUAAAUGCAUAUAUUAAUUAAGUUAAUUAUCCCCUAGUUUUUUCCCUGAAACUUCCCCCAAAAUUCAAUUUUUUCAAAUUUUCUUUAUCAAAGAAAAAAAUAAAUACAGAAGCAAAUGAAAAUAGAAAUAUCAGUGUGUUGGGUGUUUUAUAAAUUGAUCCGUGUCUGUGUUUAUUUUGAUGUAAUUCUUAAUGCAUUUAAUGGCACAUUAAUGCAUUCAUGACGACAUUUAAUUAUGCUUUUAUUGAUUUUUUUUCAUUCUUGAAGUUUUGGUCCUCUGCUGUAUGAAACAUUCACAAGAACAAUGAUUAUGCUGAAGUGUCUGUGGAGCACAGCUUUAUUAGAAUCUCGUAUGUCUGUGAUAUUUUGAGGUAUUUUCUGAGUAUUUUCAUGAAAUUCAGUCACCAGCUGUGACAUGUUAGUAUGGAAGAGUACUGUAUGCUUGGAAAUAUUAAAGGAUUGUGUAUGGGUUGAAAAUGUAAUUAAAAAAAUAUAAAAGAGUUUGUAAAAUUAUCUACAAAAAGCUUCUAAGGUGGCAUCGUGAUCUGUGUGUAUAGUAAUGGGAAUCAGUACUGGGAAAUAACUUCUGUCAGCUCAUUGCUUUAAAGGUUAAAGCUGGUAAUUCUUGAUAUUUGUUAUCCUCCAUUAAACCCAUGUAAACACCAAAACCAUCAGUAUUUUCCUCAAACUGCCAUUCUCUGACUGUAACCUGACUGUGAGGACGAUCCAAAUAUGAAAAAAACAAGUUUAACUGAUCCUUAAUUAUGCCAGUGUUUUUAUUUUUUAAUCAAAUAUGACUCGAAGAAGAAAAAAAGUUGAAUUUUAUUCUGUUCAGAGCUGAAUAUUAAUACACUGGUGAGUAUUUACACAAGCAGGUCAGCAGAUGUGCAUCAACUCAAAUGAACCGUACCCACGUCAGUGAGUGCCAAAGGUAUCCCUAAUUUCUGUGUUUUAAAUAGUUUCUGGAUAACAGUGGAGCUCAGAUUCAUAAGCUACUGAGCCUCAAAUUGUGGGUGAACAGUUUUAUUGUUGGUUUUGGUGCUUUUUGAUCAUCAGGUGAUUGCAGGAUAAUAUUAAUGCAUCUCAUUAUGUUAUCAGAUAUUUAUUUGUCACUGUGUGUCAACAUUUGCUUAUUUGUCACCUAAAAGUGUGCAUUUUUAGCUUUGACCACAUUAUUGGCUCGGCACAGGCAACAGUUUUAUGUUAACGCUGUUCACAGUUCCCUUUCUCUUUGAGUUGUUCUGACUGCGUUGUGAGACAUAACGUCAUGUCUGUCAAAUAUAUGUACAUAUAUAUAUAUAUAUUUUCUGUGAUCUGCUUUUGCUGCCAAUUAAAAUCCUUUUGCCAUUGUUACAAAGCAA